rnacentral:rRNA from 1 species
UACGUAGGGGGCAAGCGUUGUCCGGAUUUACUGGGCGUAAAGAGCGUGUAGGCGGCCAGAUAAGUCUGCUGUGAAAACUCGAGGCUCAACCUCGAGACGUCGGCGGAAACCAUCUGGCUAGAGUCCGGAAGAGGAGAGUGGAAUUCCUGGUGUAGCGGUGAAAUGCGCAGAUAUCAGGAAGAACACCCGUGGCUAAGGCGGUUCUCUAGUACGGUACUGACGCUGAGACGCGAAAGCGUGGGGAGCGAACAGG